rnacentral:rRNA from 1 species
CAUUAGCUCUCUAAUUAAGAGAUAGAAUGAACGGUUAAACGAGAUGAAGCCUGUCUCAAUAAAUAAACGAAAAAUUGUUUCAAAUAGUCAAAAAACUUUUAUACAAAAAUAAGACGACAAGACCCUGACCACAAACUUAAAAUUUAACUGGGGCGGUAACCAAAAAAACCUUAUCCAUCACAUAAACAUUAAACCAUCAUAAAAUAAUAAUUUCUAUAGUUACUGCAGGGAUAACAGCGUCACGCUUUUUUAGAGACCUAAUCGAAAAAAGAACCUACGACCUCGAUGUUGAAUUAAUUUAACUAAUUAAAGCAAAAUUUAAUUAAGAAGGUCUGUUCGACCAAUAAAAAAUU